GGUAGCAUUAUAUCCUCACUUUUUGAUUACAGAACACAUUUACUACAAUAAAAAAUAUAUAUAUAAUAGAAUGAUAUAAAAUGACAGCUUGUCACUCCAUGGUAUGAUGAUCCCUCUUAACUGGCUAAGGUGGUAAACAGUUUUGUCAUGGCAAUCUUUUGCCUUCUCAUCCCCCUCUGUUUCCCAAACACCUUCCAAAGAGAGUCACAGCUUUGUGUAAUGAAUAAGAAGCCUCCCACAGUUUCACUAGGCAUUGUUCUCUCUGCAUUUGCUCACUGUGUGUAUUGACCGCUAAGUUGGUGAUGGAUGUCAGAUUACCCUGAUACCAGUGGCUCACUCAAAAAGAGGCACUGGCUCAGAGAAUACACACACCAUAAACCCACCACCAGCAACUCUUCAUACAAUGAUUAACUGCUCUUGUUUGACAUCUACUUUUCAGAUGCAUCUGUAAGUAACUGUUAUGGGCCUUCUUCCAUUUUGCAUCCAAUCCGCUUGACAAUGGCACCCACAGUUACCCAGGAGACAGGCCUUUAUGUGAGGGGCAUGUGCUGAAAAAAGAUGUUUUCUACCUCUCUCUUGUCCAGUUUUCCACGCGUUCUGCCUUUUUUUCUGGAAAAUGGGGGUAAAUUGAGCUUGGAGAUGAUUCCUGAACCAGUGGUUGCUCUGUGCUCUCCAUUUUUGCUUCAGGAACAGCAUUGGAGUUGUGGUGACAACAGUGGAAUAUCUAUCCUGAAAGCGCUGCUUGAUACUAGUUCUGAUACAAAGUUGCGUUUGACCAUUAUAUAAAAAAAAAUGUCUGGCCACCUAACCAUUUAAUCUUACCUGUCAAUGUAUGUGAUGCUCCUGAAUUACAUUCACAGCACAGAAUGUCUAAACGUUUUCUUCCUUCUUCAGCCAGAUGUUUUUAAAUGGUGUAAAAGGUACUAUGCAGUUUGGUUCUAAAUAUUGCUGGACUGGCUGAAAAAGUGCUAUGGAUAAUAUUUCAACAGGGAGCUCUCCUUACGUGCAGCCUUCAGCAAUGAUGGAUAAUGCUUGCAUCAGGUUACUCUGGCCUCUCAUUUAACCAAGCCUCAACAUUAUAAUUACCAACCAUGCAUUCCACCUGGAAAAAAUCUUCCAGCAUGGAUUGGUCAUUCCAGAGAUAACCUGUCCUUUGCUAAUCGACAAGGACUCAUACAGUCAAACUCCAGUGGGGAUCCUCUGCUUCAAAUCAGAAAGUCCUCAGCUUAACCAUUCAAAGUGAGCAUCGUCUUGGACAGGAGUUUGGUGAUGGAUGAACUGGCCAACCUGCCUCAGGCCUUCUGUGUUCUUUUCGGACUGAUUUAUGCCCUGUACUUGGACUAUCCUAAGUGCAUGAAAAACAGUUUCCACUUUAUUCAGCAGGUAAUGAUCAACCUGGGAGGUUCCUAUUUUAUAGAAAUUGAAAUUUCUAUAAAAAUUGCCCCAACUGCCGCACCGGCACGAAGCGGACAGCCUCGUGCCAAACACACCAGCAGCCGGAAGGACCG
ensembl:lncRNA